rnacentral:miRNA from 1 species
AGAAGAGGCCUGGGAGUGGGUCGUA